AAGAAAUUAGUUAAAAUAUAACAUUAGUAUGUCAUGCUAAAAUUAUUAAUAUAUUAAUAUUUCUUU
rnacentral:tRNA from 1 species